AGUGAACGCUGGCGGUAGGCCUAACACAUGCAAGUCGAACGGCAGCACAGUAAGAGCUUGCUCUUACGGGUGGCGAGUGGCGGACGGGUGAGGAAUACAUCGGAAUCUACUUUUUCGUGGGGGAUAACGUAGGGAAACUUACGCUAAUACCGCAUACGACCUACGGGUGAAAGCAGGGGAACAUCGGACCUUGCGCGAUUGAAUGAGCCGAUGUCGGAUUAGCUAGUUGGCGGGGUAAAGGCCCACCAUGGCGACGAUCCGUAGCUGGGCUGAGAGGAUGAUCAGCCACACUGGAACUGAGACACGGUCAAGACUCCUACGGGAGGCAGCAGUGGGGAAUAUUGGACAAUGGGCGAAAGCCUGAUCCAGCCAUACCGCGUGAGUGAAGAAGGACUUCGGGUUGUAAAGCCCUUUUGUUGGGAAAGAAAAGCAGCAGGUUAAUACCCCGCUGUUCUGACGGUACCCAAAGAAUAAGCACCGGCUAACUUCGUG
rnacentral:rRNA from 1 species